rnacentral:rRNA from 1 species
AUUGAACGCUGGCGGCAGGCCUAACACAUGCAAGUCGAGCGGAUGAAGGGAGCUGGCUCCUGGAUUCAGCGGCGGACGGGUGAGUAAUGCCUAGGAAUCUGCCUGGUAGUGGGGGAUAACGUCCGGUAACGGGCGCUAAUAGCGCAUACGUCCUGAGGGAGAGAGUGGGGGAGCUUCGGACCUCAGGCUAGGAGAUGAGCCUAGGUCGGAUGAGAUGGUGGGUGGGGUAAGGGCCUACCAAGGCGAGGAUCGGUAACUGGUCUGAGAGGAUGAUACGUCACACUGGAACUGAGACACGGUCCCGACGACUAAGGGAGGCCGCAGUCGGCAAUAUUAGACAACGGGCGAAAGCCUGAUGCAGCCAUGCCAAGUGUGUCACGAAGGUCUUCGGAUUGUAAAGCACUUUUAGUUGGGAGGAAGGGCAGUCAGUUAAUACCAUGCUGUUUUGACGUUACCAACAGAAUAAGCACCGGCUAACUUCGUG